AACACAAAAAUAUAAAAUUCCUUAAUCAAGAUGAAUGAAGCCAGAAGCUUAUUUACUACUUUCUUAAUCCUGGCAUUUUUGCUAUUCUUACUUUACACCUUCUACGAAGUCAUGUUCUAAUAAAAUCGGAUUUAGAUUAAUUGCUAAAGAAGAGAAAAAGAAAAAAAAAAAAAACAAGAUAGAGCCGUUGCAUACUGCUUCACAUUUUUCUUAAUAAAAAUGAGCAUCAAAUUCCACUCAUUAUAUUUUAAUAUUAAAUUUAAGCAGCUAGCAUCUAUAUAUUAACGGUUAAGUCAAGGGGUUGACGUCAUGGUAUACAACACAUUGCCGGCCGUAAAUAAAUUGCAUUUCAAAGACUCUUGAUCAGCCUUGAAAAGGCAUUUCAACAUCUGCAUUUGGCCUAGUAAAAGUAUUUAUUGAUGUCAUCUUCAAUAUAAUUAAAUUAAAUUUUUUUUUUUUUUUUUUUUUUUAAUUUUUAUAGCGUAGAUAUAUACCGUUUUGAACUUAUAAUAAUUUAUUAUUAAUAGAAAAUUUAGUUAA